AUGUGUAAUAGGAAAGGAUUCAAGUCAAAAGAUAGUAAGGAGACAGAUGACCCCUUGAAGAAAAGGCGUAAGCAGACAAAUACACGAUGUGGUUGUGAUGCCCAUAUCUUUGUUAGACUUUGUGGGGAUAACACCUACAAGAUAGACUCAUGGGUUGAGCACCACAUUCACGGUCUUGUAUCACCUGAUAAGCGUCAUUUGAUCAGAUCGAAUCAUACAGUUAGUGAGAGGCUAAAGAAUACUUUAUACACAUGUCAUAACGCAAGCAUUGGAACCUCUCAAGCAUAUAGGCUCCUGCAAGUUAGCGAGGACGGAAUUGAAUGUUGGCUGCUCAAAGAGGGACUUGCAGAAUUACUACCAAGCACUCAGGUAUAA
rnacentral:rRNA from 1 species